AGACACGUACAAUGUUUUCAUUGAACUUAAAGUGAAAACAGGUACGUAUUAAGUAAUUUGAAAAUAAAUGAUGUGUGAGCAAAUACUUCUAGAGGGCCUGAGAUAUUUCAAACAAAGAUAUACUUAAAUAUCACCAAGAUAAGAAGGUUGUGUCAAUAUUCUGACGUAUUAAUUUAGCCUUUAUAAUGAUAUGAAUUUGAUACAUUUGUUGUAAAUAUCAAGCAAUUAUCUUGAACUGAUAAGUGUUUCAAUUGCUAUUGUUAUGGUCGUAUUUUACGGAAUACUGUUCUUGACAUGCUCUACGCGAUUACAGUCGUGGUCUUUUGUUCGGCUUUGCCAAAGCAAGCACGUAGAAAUGUUCACCACACGAGAGCAUUUACAUAAACUUCGACAAAAAAGUUGCAUAAAGGUAAUUGAUCCGUAAUGGCCCUCGGCAAUUUCCGUGUGAUUACGUAUUUUCAUUAUACAAUUCGGAUGUCUUCGGUCGUAAAUGUAGCUAAACGCGCACGUGUCUUUCCGGAUAAACCGGAAAAUGCCGAAAUCGCGCACGGAGUAUAAGUAAUUCCCGACUGACAUAACGGUUCUGCGACCUUAAUACACUCUGGCAAACCAGAAGUCUACCAUGGUUCCAUAGCUGAACGACUCGAGAUUUUGACGAUUCUGUGAUGGUGAGAAUGCCUUGGUAAUACCAUCAACGGUUCUCCACUUACUUGUAUCACCAAAACCGCCGGAAUCAGAAAAUAAUAGAACCAUGUAUCUUCCGAAAAAUGACCCCUCCCUUAUGUGCCAAAACCUCCUUAUAGAAGCAUUCUCCUCGAAAAAAUAGAGGCUUACAGAAAUAGUAGUCGCGUGUAAGACCUCUUGGAAAUAGAAAAAUGCUUGCAGUUUUAAUUAACGACCGCAUUUAAGAUCAUCCUCGAAUAAAUAGAAGUUUGCAAUCCCAGGCAAAUAAGUACAUAUCAUAAUAAUGGCGCACCUUUCUAACGUUUAUCAUUAUUUACCACAACAAUCCUAUGACAAAUAACAACUACAGUUUGUUACAAAGUUCAUCCGUACAACAUCUGCCUCACUCGUUUUUUCAUACCUUAUAACGUGUGCUAAAAAAUAUCAGCUUAGUGAAGGAGAAACCUGAUUUGUUUCAAAUAUUUUAUAAUAUGCUCAUUUAUAGUUCUAACAGCUUAAUAUAAUCUGAAAAAAAACAUACGACUAUGUUUCCCCGUUAAUGGCCCUAGCCGCAUUCCGUAAACAUAGAAAUGUGGAAAUACGCAGCAUUUUGAAAGGACUGAUAAAUUCUUUCAAAAUAUCGCACAUAGGACAAAGUGCCCAGUUCCUAUUUUGCUGUUGUUCUUCACACAUAGAGGAGUGCAGAUAACUAAGGACAGGUAAGUGUGACCACCACGGAAGGUGAUAGAUACAUCACGAAGAGGUGAGUUCAUAUUUUUGAUAUUUUCGUAUUUCAAAAUAUUUGUGUAAUAACAUAUUUACGUUUUAGCUGACAAAUCAGUAA